rnacentral:rRNA from 1 species
CCUACGGGAGGCUGCAGUGGGGAAUAUUGGGCAAUGGGCGCAAGCCUGACCCAGCAACGCCGCGUGAAGGAAGAAGGCUCUCGGGUUGUAAACUUCUUUUGUCAGGGAAGAGUAGAAGAAGGUACCUGACGAAUAAGACACGGCUAACUACGUGGCAGCAGCUGCGGGAAUACGGAGGUGGCCAGCGUUUUCCGGAGUUACUGGGUGUAAAGGGCGUGUAGCCGGGUUGACAAGGCAGAUGUGAAAUCUUGCGGCUUAACCGCAGAACUGCAUUUGAAACUGUUGCUCUUGAGUACUGUAGAGGCAGACGGAAUUCCUGGUGUAGCGGUGAAAUGCGUAGAUAUUAGGAGGAACACCAGUGGCGAAGGCGGUCUGCUGGACAGCAACUGACGGUGAGGCGCGAAGGCGUGGGGAGCAAACAGGAUUAGAUACCCCAGUAGUC